CAAUGAAGGAAGCAUGAUAAUGUGUACAUAAUUGAAUUGGGUCUCUAGGCCUAUCCUCUCUUAUGCUACUCGGAUUUGAUUUGGGGGCAUGGUUCCGCAACAAAAUA